GCGACUUUACAAUUUGUUAUUGAGAGGAUAGCCUUGAGGAUAGGAGAGAGAAUCAUGAGUCACCUUCCAAACAGGUUUGACCUGGUGUGAGAUACUAGUACAAACAUCUUUUAGAAACUGGUCUAAACUAGCCCAUAAGAAAGAGUGGUAGGCGUGGAUUCAACAAAAUACCCUCACAUGCUAACGAGAAAGUGAGCUGAACUAACAAGAAACUGUGGCUGCAACUGCCUGCGAAACAAAUACCAUGAGGAUUUGCUAUGGAGGCAGCUUUGCCCAAAGAAGAAGAUCAGAGACAGAACUUUGCAGCCAUGCUAUUCAGUAAUGAAGAUGCAAAUUGUUGUUUAAUAUUCAACUGCUGCUUCCUGUGAAGGUCUGAACAAGUGACAGUGGCAAUGUUAGGAUUUCCUCAGAGAUCUUUUCCACUCGGCUUAGCCAGAACACCUCUCCAGUUCUGGGGAUAAUACUUUAUCCAGCUCUCUCGAAUCCAAGAAAUCAGCUCAACUCUGGACUCAUCACUGAUGUUUCAUUAGUGGCAGACAAUCAAACUACACUUGAGUUGAUCAGGCUCAAGUGGAGCAGGUGGGUACAGGGUGUACCCAGGGGUGAAAGUAACUGAAAGGACUUACUGGUACGCCGAAGUCCUGAGUGGAGGUGUGACCUCAACUGGAAGAGGUGGCUGGGGCUGGGAGCCCCAGGGCCUUUAAAUCACCCCAGAGCUACCAACUGCAGAGGCGGCUGGGAGCCCGGGGAAUUUUGGGGAAAAAUAAAGGGCCCGGGGCCCUUUAAAGCGCCUGAGCCCUGCUGCUGGAGCUCUGGCAGUGAUUUAAAGAGCUGGGGCUCCCCGCAGCGGCUGGAGCCCUGGGCCCUUUAAAUCACUGCUGGGGAAGCCAGUCCAGUCUGGCACAGCGUACCAGCUCUUGCCGGUACGCCGUACCAGACCAUUCCAGCUUACUUUCACCUCUGCGUAUACCACACUUUUAAUGUAAAUAAUCAUGAGUUAGCUUAUAUACCAGGGGUCAGCAACCUUUCAGAAGGUGUGCCGAGUCUUCACUUAUUUACUCUAAUUUAAGGGUUCGCGUGCCGGUAAUACAUUUUAAUGUUUUUAGAAGGUCUCGCUCUCUCUAUAGUCUAUAAACUAUUGUUGUAUGUAAAGUAAACAAGUUUUUUAAAAUGUUUAAGAAGUUUCAUUUAAAAUUAAAUUAAAAUGCAGAUCUUA